rnacentral:rRNA from 1 species
AAGGUAGCUUGCUACUGGACCUAGCGGCGGACGGGUGAGUAAUACUUAGGAAUCUGCCUAUUAGUGGGGGACAACGUUCCGAAAGGAGCGCUGAUACCGCAUACGCCCUACGGGGGAAAGCAGGGGAUCUUCGGACCUUGCGCUAAUAGAUGAGCCUAAGUCGGAUUAGCUAGUUGGGGGGGUAAAGGCCUACCAAGGCGACGAUCUGUACCGGGUUUGAGAGGAUGAUCCGCCACACUGGGACUGAGACACGGCCCAUACUCCUACGGGAGGCAGCAGUGGGGAAUAUUGGACAAUGGGCGCAAGCCUGAUCCAUCCAUGCCGCGUGUGUGAAGAAGGCCUUAUGGUUGUAAAGCACUUUAAGCGAGGAGGAGGCUUACCUAGCUAAUACCUAGGAUAAGUGGACGUUACUCGCAGAAUAAGCACCGGCUAACUCUGUGCCAGCAGCCGCGGUAAUACAGAGGGUGCAAGCGUUAAUCGGAAUUACUGGGCGUAAAGCGCGCGUAGGUGGCCAUUUAAGUCAAAUGUGAAAU